GGUGGCGCGUGCCUGUAGUCCCAGCUACUCUGGAGGCUGAGGUGGGAGGAUCUCUUGAGCCCAGGAGGUUGAGACCACAGUGACCCGUGACUGUACCACUGCUGCGCUCCACUUUGGGUGAAGAGCAAGACCUUGUCAU